rnacentral:rRNA from 1 species
AACGUAGGAGACAAACGUUAUCCGGAGUUACUGGGCGUAAAGGGCGUGUAGGUGGUUUCGUAAGUCUGGCGUGAAAUUUUUCGGCUUAACCGGGAAAGGUCGUCGGAUACUGCGGGACUGGAGGACGGUAGAGGCGUGUGGAAUUCCGGGUGUAGUGGUGAAAUGCGUAGAGAUCCGGAGGAACACCAGUGGCGAAGGCGACACGCUGGGCCGUACCUGACACUGAUGCGCGACAGCAUGGGGAGCAAACAGG